rnacentral:rRNA from 1 species
UAGGGAAUCUUCGGCAAUGGACGAAAGUCUGACCGAGCAACGCCGCGUGAGUGAAGAAGGUUUUCGGAUCGUAAAACUCUGUUGUUAGAGAAGAACAAGGACGUUAGUAACUGAACGUCCCCUGACGGUAUCUAACCAGAAAGCCACGGCUAACUACGUGCCAGCAGCCGCGGUAAUACGUAGGUGGCAAGCGUUGUCCGGAUUUAUUGGGCGUAAAGCGAGCGCAGGCGGUUUCUUAAGUCUGAUGUGAAAGCCCCCGGCUCAACCGGGGAGGGUCAUUGGAAACUGGGGGACUUGUGUGCAGAAGAGGAGAGUGGAAUUCCAUGUGUAGCGGUGAAAUGCGUAGAUAGAUGGAGGAACACCAGUGGCGAAGGCGGCUCUCUGGUCUGUAAAAGACGCUGAGGCUCGAAAGCGUGGGGAGCAAACAGG